GGGCGAUUAGCUCAGUUGGGAGAGCCCUGCCUUACAAGCAGGGGGUCACUGGUUCGAACCCGGUAUCGCCCACCA
rnacentral:tRNA from 1 species